ACGGGUGCGGAACACGUACGCAACCUUCCUUUAAGUGGGGGAUGCCCGGCGAAAGUCGGAUUAAUACCCCGUAAUACUGUUGAGUGGCAUCACUUGACAAUUAUAGCUCCGGCGCUUGAAGAUGGGCGUGCGUCUGAUUAGGUAGUUGGCGGGGUAACGGCCCACCAAGCCUUCGAUCAGUAACUGGUGUGAGAGCACGACCAGUCACACGGGCACUGAGACACGGGCCCGACUCCUACGGGAGGCAGCAGUAAGGAAUAUUGGUCAAUGGACGCAAGUCUGAACCAGCCAUGCCGCGUGGAGGAUGAAGGCCCUCUGGGUUGUAAACUUCUUUUAUCUGGGAAGAAACCUCCGAUUUCCAUUGGAGCCGACGGUACCAGAUGAAUAAGCACCGGCUAACUCCGUGCCAGCAGCCGCGGUAAUACGGAGGGUGCAAGCGUUAUCCGGAUUCACUGGGUUUAAAGGGUGCGUAGGUGGGUCUGUAAGUCAGUGGUGAAAUCUCCGGGCUUAACUCGGAUACUGCCGUUGAUACUAUAGAUCUUGAAUAUCGCGUAGGUAAGCGGAAUAUGUCAUGUAGCGGUGAAA
rnacentral:rRNA from 1 species